CUUUUUUUGUUGUUUUUGUUUU
rnacentral:sRNA from 1 species